AGUCUGACCUGCCCUAUGAUAUUUAUAUUAAAUGGCCGCGAUAAUUUGAUCGUGCAAAGGUAGCAUAAUAAUUAGUUUCUUAAUUAGGAACUGGAAUGAAAGGUUGAACGAGAAAAAUUCUGUCUCAAUUUAAUUUUAAUUAGAAUUUUAUUUUUAAGUUAAAAAGCUUAAAUGAAUUUAAAAGACGAGAAGACCCUAUAGAGUUUUAUAUUUGUUAAUAAAUUUUAAUUUUGGGAUUUUAUUUAAAAUUUAAUUUAAUAAGUAUUUGGUUGGGGUGAUUGAAAAAUUAAAGAAACUUUUUUUUAUUAAUUGAACAUUAAUUAAUGAUUAAUUGAUCCAUAAAUUUAUGAUUAAAAGAUUAAAUUACCUUAGGGAUAACAGCGUAAUUUUUUUUGAGAGUUCUUAUCGAAAAAAAAGUUUGCGACCUCGAUGUUGGAUUAAAAUAAACUUUUGGUGUAGAAGCUAAUAAAGUUAGGUCUGUUCGACCUUUAAAAUUUUACAUGAUCUGAGUUUAAACCGGUGUAAGCCAGGUUGGUUUCUAUCUUUAA
rnacentral:rRNA from 1 species